rnacentral:lncRNA from 1 species
CAGAGCUAUCUACGAAAGAUCAUGUAGGCCUGAGAUGUCUUAGAAACUUUUAUGAGCAAUGAUUUCUUCAAGAAAAUAUUAUAUGUUAAAACUUGGCCAUGACUUUUUUUUCUUUUUUUAAAGGUGGAAGGAAUCUAAAGAACUGGAUACAGGUGGACUUGUCUGCUGUGUGUUCACAGAUGUAUUCACUGACUAGUACUGCAAAUGCUCCACCUAUAAACCUUGCAGAAGAUACCACAAUUGAUUUACUGUGGGACUGAGAGGUUGUCCAUGAGAUAGUGAAUGCAACUGUACAGCCAUCAAGAAUACAAGAGAAGUAUCCAAAAAUGUAAUAAAGAUAUAAAUGGCAUCUUUUUAUUUCA